AACUGUUAUCUUGACAGUUUGGGAUACUCUACUGAAAUUCUUGGCUAGCCAGGCUUUGAAUUUUUGUCUGGAAGGUAAUAUUUAAGGUUGUAAUAUUCCAUAAAGGAGAGAGGAAUUCUUUUGCAUUCCUAAUUGCGGUAUAAAGGACGUAACGGGAAAAAUACCGAGGAAAUGGCGUUACCGUUUUACUUGUGACUGAGACGUUGCUAGAGUAUACUGAGUUGGAGUCCAUUUCACUUGUUUGAAAAAUGUCAUGGAUUCGAUAAAGUUUCUUAAUUUAACGAAAAUAGAAUAUUUUUCAGUUUUGUCUUUUAACAGUUAAUAAUGAAAAGUAACAAGCUCACCCUUCUCCUUCUCCCUGAAGGUGUGGAUGAAAGAAAACGACUUUGAAGAGAAUAGAGUUUAUUCUGUAGUAAAAUGUAAAUGAUCAUGACCCAAGGACAGGAUUCAAACUGCCCCCAAACCAUAUUCAACAUAAAAGUGUUACAGUCUUAUGAGUUUUAUAUGGUAACAAAAGAGAUAAGACACUUCAGUUUAUGGAAUGUCUCUGGCUAUUGGCCUUAGAUUUCAUCUGAUGACAUUCUCAGUCUUUGGGAUUGGUGGAAGUUAGUGUUCUGUUUAUACAUUCCAGAAGGACAGUCACAAGGAUAGAUGCUAAGCUAUACAUAGAAGUGGGCAAUGAAUGGCUAUUAAGGAGGCCAAGGAUAGCCUAAGAUAAUUUAGCUCCAGGCUUGCAGCAUUCCAGGUCUCUCCUGUCACAGUAGAAUCAGCCUUGUAGAAUUUUUAACUAAGGAUUGGGGUGAGUGGUUGUGUGGUUUCCCCCUCAUAGGAACUAUAGUUAACAAAGGAGUUAACUGUUGUGUUCUUCCAAUCUGUUUUCCUUCUCUUAAUUAAAAUUAUUAUGCAAAUACAUUUUGGAGUCAUUUAAAAUAACAUUAGAUGCAGAUGUGUUGGCUCUGACCUAAAAGCCCAGCAUUCUGGUUGAAAGAGUAGGUUUCUUGUGACUUCAAGGCCAGCUACAAAGUGAGGCUCUGUCUCACAAAAAACUGAUAAUAACAAUGGAGGGUUUGAAGGUAUAGCUCAGUGGGUAAAGAGUACCCAAGGCCUUGUUUUUGAUUUGAUACCCAGAACUGUUAAUAUAUGCACAAAAAAAUUUUAAAACCUACCAGAAUACAUGGAUACAUGGAGUAAAAACUAAAGCCUCCAAUCUCCUAUAAACAUCUUUUUUACAUUAACCUGAUAUGACCGAAGUGGGCCUGCUGCACCAGCGGCACUGUUUUCUACCUUUGGUUAUUCUUGACCUGUGUGUGUGUGUCUGUAAGCACCUGGAGGUCUACUCCCUUCAAUGGCUGCACAGUGUCCCCUUAAGCUUUUUGCUGCUGAAUGACGUUUCUUUAGAAAGCUGCACAUUUUUCUACUAAUCCAAACCCAAAAAAACGUCAGCAAACAUCUUUGAGCACACGCUAAAGAUUUUCUGUAGAACACAUUUCAAGAUGAGGAAGCUGGCUCAAAAGCCUUGGACACGUUGUUAGGUCCUGCUGUUGUCCUCUCAAAAAUGUUGCCCUUGUGAUUCCCAUGAAUAAGCAUGAGAGUGACUUUCCUCACUGAUUUUUAGAAUCACCUUUUGUAAUGUUUGAUAGUUUCUGGAUCUGAUGGAAGAAUUUAAACUUCCCUAUUACCAGAAUAAUUGAGUACUCUUUCAAGUGCUACUUUGUGCUUUAAUCUUUUUAUUACCUUUAAGUGUGUGGGUGUGUUCUACAGUUUAGGUGUGGAGAUGAGAAGAUAACUUGCAAGGGCCCUUCUGUCCUGUUAUAGGGUAUCUGAAGAGAACAGCCCAAGACCUGAAUAACUUGAAUGGAGUCUUUAUUUAACCUUGGGCAGGACUGCUCCAAGCGAAUUAUUGGGAAGUAUUGUGGAACUCCAGUUGGCUUGAUUUUUUUUUUUUAAUUUUUUUUUUUUUUUUUUUUUGGUUUUUUGAGACAGGGUUUCUUAGUGUAGCCCUGGCUGUCCUGGAACUCACUCUGUAGAGCAGGCUGGCCUUGAACUCAGAAAUCCGCCUGUCUCUGCCUCCCAAGUGCUGGGAUUAAAGGCGUGUGCUACCACUGCCUGGCGUGAUUUUUAUUUUUAUUUAUUAUUUUUUUAAAGAUUUAUUUAUUUAUUAUAUGUAAGUACACUGUGACACUCCAGAAGAGGGAGUCAGAUCUCAUUACGGAUGGUUGUGAGCCACCAUGUGGUUGCUGGGAUUUGAACUCCAGAGCUUCGGAAGAGCAGUCAGGUGCUCUUACCCACUGAGCCAUCUCACCAGCCCCAUGAUUUUUAUUUUUUAAGGGGGAAAAAAUGCAAUUGUGACAUAUACAGAAAUCGAGUAUUGCUUACAGAAGUAGAGAGGUAACAGUUUAUGGUCAGGCAGGUAACAUUUAGCUCACAGCCCCAUUAUACAGGAAUUUGGGACUAGUCCAGAGACCAGUUUUAUCCAAGAUAAUUUAGCACUUAAAAGUAUUCUUAAGAAUAUUUUGUCCCUUUUCCCUUUCUGCCACGCCAUGCCAUCCAGACUGAGGAAGACCCGGAAACUCCAGGGUCACGUGAGCUGUGGCCAUGUGAGCAUAGGUAAGCACCGCUGCAAGCACCCAGGAGGCUGUGGGGAGGCUGGAGGCAUGCAUCACCACAGGAUCAACUUGACAAAUAUCAUCCAGGUUACUUUGGGAAAGUUGGUAUGAGGCACCAGAGCUCCUGCCCAACUGUCAACCUAGAUAAAUUGUGGACGUUGGUCAGCGAGCAGAUGCGGGUCAAUGUAGCAAAAAAUAAGACUGGAGCUGCUCCCAUCAUUGAUGUUCGAUCAAGUUACUACAAAGUUCUGGGCUCGGAUAGCUCCCCAAGCAACCUGUCAUCGAGAAGGCCAAAUCCUUCAGCAGAAGAGCUGAAAAGAAGAUUAAGGCUGUUGGAGGUGCCUGGGUUCUGGUGCCUUAAAAGCCAUGCUGGAGGUUAAUUAUAUGCUAACAUUUAAAAAAAAAGAAUAUUUUGAUGAGCUGUUGUAACUAUAGCUCUGUAGCCUACUACAAUUCUGCUCUGUGGACUGUAGGAAUUGAAUCUAGGUCUUUGGGCAACAAGCUGUUGAGCUGCUUCGCCACCCCCACUUAUUCCUUUCAUAAGACUCAACUUCAACAGUAAGCUUUCAUGUGCCUAAAUAAAAUGGGCUGCUUAGUGCUAGGUAGAGCCUUGCUUAGCAUGAGUGAUGUCUUGGGUUGCAUCCUCAAUACCACAAAAAUGAAUAGUAGUUAUGAUUAUUUUCUUAAUUCACAGCUUCUCUUUCUAACUCUGUAGAACAGUUUUCUUCUAAUCCAGUUGCUUUGGCAAUCGUGCUUAUGGAAUUUUCGGUUAUCAAAUAUUUAACUUUUCCUGUAGAGUCACACCUGCCAAUAUAUUCUCUCACAGUUCUUUUGAAAAAAGGGUUUAUUUACUUACUUAUUUGCAGGCAUGUGUGCUUUGUGAUGUUAAUACACAUACUGUGGUGUGUAUGUGGAAGUUGGUUCUGUCCUUGCACUAUGUGUGAACCCAGGUUACCAGGUUUGGCAGCAAGCUCCUUUACCAGCUGAGCCAUCUGGGCAGCCCUUCAGGUAGUUUUGAAUUGAUUGUGUUGCUAGAUGCCAAACUUUGGGUUUGGCAGUUAUUUAUUUAGUGGGCUUGAGAUACAUCUUCUGCUUUCGUGAAUUUGAGAGUCACUAAUAAGAGAUUUGGUGUUCUUAUGUUUCUGCCUUUGUAGCAGAUUAUCCUAUCCCCUUCCUGCUCUUGUAGCUCAGUUGACAUGUCCUCUCCUGUCCCCAGCUCCUCAUAUUAUUUCUUUGCUCUGUAUCCCUGAUAUCUUGACUGUAAUGUAUUGUGGAGAAGUUCUUUUCUAGUCAUGUUUAUUUAAGGUUCUAAGUGUAUUUCUAGAAAAAAAAUAGAUAUUCACACAGUAGAAAAUUUGUUACAAUUUCAUUGAAUAAAUCUAUGCCAUUAU